GACGGAGGGGGCUAGCGUUGUUCGGAAUUACUGGGCGUAAAGCGCACGUAGGCGGACUAUUAAGUCAGGGGUGAAAUCCCGGGGCUCAACCCCGGAACUGCCUUUGAUACUGGUAGUCUCGAGUCCGGAAGAGGUGAGUGGAAUUCCGAGUGUAGAGGUGAAAUUCGUAGAUAUUCGGAGGAACACCAGUGGCGAAGGCGGCUCACUGGUCCGGUACUGACGCUGAGGUGCGAAAGCGUGGGGAGCAAACAGG
rnacentral:rRNA from 1 species